GACAGAGGUGCCGAGCGUUAAUCGGAAUUACUGGGCGUAAAGCGUGCGCAGGCGGUUCGUUAAGACAGAUGUGAAAUCCCCGGGCUUAACCUGGGAACUGCAUUUGUGACUGGCGAGCUAGAGUAUGGCAGAGGGGGGUAGAAUUCCACGUGUAGCAGUGAAAUGCGUAGAGAUGUGGAGGAACACCGGUGGCGAAGGCGGCCAUCUGGACGGAUACUGACGCUGAGACGCGAAAGCGUGGGGAGCAAACAGG
rnacentral:rRNA from 1 species